rnacentral:tRNA from 6 species
GCGGGCGUAGCUCAAUGGUAGAGCAUCAGCCUUCCAAGCUGAGGGUUGCGGGUUCGAGUCCCGUCGCCCGCU